rnacentral:lncRNA from 1 species
CCUCUUCCCCAAUUCCGGCAUUCCAUAGAUCACUAGUUUUCGAAGAGUAGAAAUGCCACUCAAUCCAUCUGGAAGCAUCUUCAAACUUAAACACCUAUAGAUCUGUAAUUGAGAGAGAAGGGGCAUGGCUCCUGCGUCUACUUGCCACUCCCUCAAUUUUGUUAAAUGAGAUAGCACAAGCAUCUCGAGUCGAGGAAAAUUGUUUGAUGGACACGUCAUCUUCUCCCCGACAAAUGAUUUCCUCCCUAAAUACAAAUAUGUUAAGCAAGGAAGCUUCCCUAGUAUCCCCAUUGGAUCAUCCUCAAUCUCACAUUUUAUCAGGUGCUGAUGUGUGUAUUUUAGCUACUUAGUUUGGUGUGUGUUUCGCCGUGAUUUUUAUAUGAUUUUACAUGAUUUGUGAUAUUUUGGCGUAGGUAUUGCAUGGAUGGAGGAGAAAGCUUGAAGAUGGGAGAAUUAUUGAAAGUCGAGAAAUUGGUUGAAGAAGUUGGUGAAUUUGUGGAGAGAUUUAGAGAUUUGGCUUUGGAGCUAAUUAUUUUGUAAUUUAGUUAAGCCAAAUACUCUUUUAAUUAAUUUUGGGCUUUAGUUUUUGGAAAGGGCCGAAGCCCAUGUUAAUUAGGGUGUUCCCUUGUGUUUUAUGGCAAUUAGGACUCUAACUUUAAAAAGGAGCCGCCAGUUUAUAAUUAGAGAUAUAUUAGGAUUAGUUUUGUUUUAAAAUUAUUAAUUAAGCACUAGGCACUUUAGUAUUAGGUUUGUUUUGCUUUCAAUUGAUACAGCCGCAAUUUUAAUAGCAGGAGUUGACUUUCUUUUGUUUUCAAUUCUUAAAUUCAUGCAAUUUAUCUUUCACGUCUUUUAGCAUAGAAUUGUUUGUUUAGAACCAGUUAUUUUUCUUGAAUUGCGGCUGGAUUGGAAUAGAGAAGGCAGACGAGUUUCUUCAAUCGGUUCAAGGGUUCCUUUAAUUUUUUGCUAUUUAUUUUGUUGGUUUCUUGUUCGAUUAUUUUCUUCAUGUUUAUUUUUAUUUAUUUGAUUGUUCUUGUUUUAAGUAUGAGUAGCUAAACUUUUAAUUCGGCGAGAAUAAUGAAACACUAAUUUAUUAAUCUGUGAGACCUAAUUGAGCAUAAAAUUGGUUCCUAUUGAUUUUGAUUUAUUCCUAGGGUUUAAAGAUAAUUCUGAUUUUAUUUAAGCCUGAUCAACUUAGAUUAAAUUGGAUUACAGUCAAUUAGUUCCUGCCAAUCCGUAAUUGUUGGAAUAGGGCUGAUUAGUGAUAAAGCUACCGUGUUCGUAGUAGGAAUUAAUUGGUAUAUUAAUUAUUACUAGCGUAUCUAGGAUAAUUGAUAUAAACUGGGUUCCUUCAUCUUAAUGCUAUUAGAAUAUUAAAUCUAGGUCUGGCGUCUCCAGCUAGGUUAUAUUUUAAUAAAGGAAAUAAGCAGGUCUGGCGUCUCCAGCUGUUUAUCGACACAGUAAGUAGGAAUUGGGGUACGUCCGUUGCGUUUCACGGUAUCCUAUAACUGGUUGGUUGGUAGGGAUUAAUUAAUUAUUGCGUCGAUGAUCAGAGCUUUGAAUUAGUGUGGAUUUAUUCGAGCCGAAUUACCUUUUUAUUGAUUAAUUUCAAGAGUUAUUUUAUUUGAUUUAAUUUAUUUUUUUAGUUGAUAAUUAUUUUCUCAAAAUUAAGGCGUGGUGGCUACACCAAAAUUUAUAGAUUUUUGGGGAAUUGAAUGAUUUUACCUGCUCUCUGUGGGAUCGACCCUGCUUAUCAUCAUACUAAUUUGUUUUGAUAAUUCUGCAGGAAUUAUUUUGGUGGGAUACGACGUCCACCAGGUGCAAAUGCGUAAGUUUUGAGCUCAUGAAGUCACGCUCGCA